GAUGAACGCUGGCGGCGUGCUUAACACAUGCAAGUCGAACGGUGAACACGGAGCUUGCUCUGUGGGAUCAGUGGCGAACGGGUGAGUAACACGUGAGCAACCUGCCCCUGACUCUGGGAUAAGCGCUGGAAACGGCGUCUAAUACUGGAUAUGUGACGUGACCGCAUGGUCUGCGUUUGGAAAGAUUUUUCGGUUGGGGGUGGGCUCGCGGCCUAUCAGCUUGUUGGUGAGGUAAUGGCUCACCAAGGCGUCGACGGGUAGCCGGCCUGAGAGGGUGACCGGCCACACUGGGAUUGAGACACGGCCCAGACUCCUACGGGAGGCAGCAGUGGGGAAUAUUGCACAAUGGGCGAAAGCCUGAUGCAGCAACGCCGCGUGAGGGAUGACGGCCUUCGGGUUGUAAACCUUUUUUAGCAGGGAAGAAGCGAAAGUGACGGUACCUGCAGAAAAAGCGCCGGCUAACUACGUG
rnacentral:rRNA from 1 species